CGUGGACCCGUAAUCCGGGUUGCGGACAGUGUCUGGUGGGUAGUUUGACUGGGGCGGUCUCCUCCUAAAGAGUAACGGAGGAGCACGAAGGUUGGCUAAUCCUGGUCGGACAUCAGGAGGUUAGUGCAAUGGCAUAAGCCAGCUUGACUGCGAGCGUGACGGCGCGAGCAGGUGCGAAAGCAGGUCAUAGUGAUCCGGUGGUUCUGAAUGGAAGGGCCAUCGCUCAACGGAUAAAAGGUACUCCGGGGAUAACAGGCUGAUACCGCCCAAGAGUUCAUAUCGACGGCGGUGUUUGGCACCUCGAUGUCGGCUCAUCACAUCCUGGGGCUGAAGUAGGUCCCAAGGGUAUGGCUGUUCGCCAUUUAAAGUGGUACGCGAGCUGGGUUUAGAACGUCGUGAGACAGUUCGGUCCCUAUCUGCCGUGGGCGCUGGAAGACUGAGGGGGGCUGCUCCUAGUACGAGAGGACCGGAGUGGACGCAUCACUGGUGUUCGGGUUGUCAUGCCAAUGGCACUGCCCGGUAGCUAAAUGCGGAAGAGAUAAGUGCUGAAAGCAUCUAAGCACGAAACUUGCCCCGAGAUGAGUCUUCCCUGAGACUUUAAGUCUCCUGAAGGAACGUUAAAGACGAUGACGUUGAUAGGCCGGGGGUGUAAGCGCAGCGAUGCGUUGAGCUAACCGGUACUAAUGAACCGUGAGGCUUAACCUUACAACGCCGAAGCUGUU
rnacentral:rRNA from 1 species